AAGCCCCAGUGAACGGCGGCCGUAACUAUAACGGUCCUAAGGUAGCGAAAUUCCUUGUCAGGUAAGUUCUGACCCGCACGAAAGGCGUAAUGAUUUGGGCACUGUCUCAACAAUGUACCCGGCGAAAUUGUAGUACUAGUGAAGAUGCUAGUUACCUGCGACAAGACGGAAAGACCCCAUGGAGCUUUACUAUAGCCUGAUAUUGGGCUUUGGUAUCUUAUGUACAGGAUAGGUGGGAGACUAUGAGAUUAAGACGCAAGUCUUAAAGGAGUCAACCUUGGAAUACCACCCUUAAGAUAUUAGAGUUCUAACUUGUGAUCAUAAACUGGUCAGAGGACAUUGUCAGGUGGGUAGUUUGACUGGGGCGGUCACCUCCUAAAGAGUAACGGAGGUGCGCAAAGGUUUCCUCGGCACGGUCAGAAAUCGUGCUAAUGAGUGUAAAGGCAUAAGGAAGCUUAACUGAGAGAGAGACAUCUCGACCAGAUACGAAAGUAGGUCUUAGUGAUCCGGUGGUAGAAAAUGGAAUUGCCAUCGCUCAACGGAUAAAAGUUACCCUGGGGAUAACAGGCUUAUCUCCCCCAAGAGUUCACAUCGACGGGGAGGUUUGGCACCUCGAUGUCGGCUCAUCGCAUCCUGGGGCUGUAGUCGGUCCCAAGGGUUGGGCUGUUCGCCCAUUAAAGCGGUACGCGAGCUGGGUUCAGAACGUCGUGAGACAGUUCGGUCCCUAUCUGUCGCAGGCGCAGGAUAUUUGAAAGGAGCUGUCCUUAGUACGAGAGGACCAGGAUGGACAUACCAAUGGUGCAACAGUUGUCACACCAGUGGCACAGCUGUGUAGCUAAGUAUGGAAGGGAUAAACGCUGAAAGCAUCUAAGCGUGAAGCCCCCCUUAAGAUAAGAUAUCCCACAACGUCAAGUUGGUAAGAUUCCAGUUAGACUAACUGGUUGAUAGGUUAGAGGUGUAAGUGUGGUGACACAUUUAGCUGACUAAUACUAAUAAUCGAGGGCUUAACCAA
rnacentral:rRNA from 1 species